CUUGUGUAGAAGGAUCCUCUAGGCAAAUCCGGAGGGUCAACUUCAAGGCGCGGGACCAGCGAAGCUUGCUUCGCGAAGCUGUUGAUACCAUGCUUCCAGGAAAAGCCUCUAAGCUUCAGUUAAUCAAGACCGUACCGCAAACCGACACAGGUGGGUAGGAUGAAAAUUCUAAGGCGCUUGAGAGAACUCAGGAGAAGGAACUCGGCAAAUUGACACCGUAACUUCGGAAGAAGGUGUGCCUUUAGUAGGUGAACCUGUACAAGGGGAGCCAAAUGAGGCCGCAGAGAAUCGGUGGCUGCGACUGUUUAAUAAAAACACAGCACUCUGCUAACACGAAAGUGGACGUAUAGGGUGUGACGCCUGCCCGGUGCCGGAAGGUUAAGUGAUGGGGUGCAAGCUCUUGAUCGAAGCCCCGGUAAACGGCGGCCGUAACAAUAACGGUCCUAAGGUAGCGAAAUUCCUUGUCGGGUAAGUUCCGACCUGCACGAAUGGCGUAACGAUGGCCACACUGUCACCUCCUGAGGCUCAGCGAAGUUGAAAUGUUUGUGAUGAUGCAAUCUCCCCGCGGCAAGACGGAAAGACCCCAUGAACCUUUACUGUAGCUUUGCAUUGACUGUGAACCGAUCUGUGUAGGAUAGCUGGGAGGCUUUGAAGCGGUGCCGCUAGGUGUCGUGGAGCCAACCUUGAAAUACCAGCCUGGUUUGUUUGCGGUUCUAACCUUGCCCGUUAUCCGGGUCGGGGACAGUGCAUGGUAGGCAGUUUGACUGGGGCGGUCUCCUCCUAAAAGGUAACGGAGGAGCUCGAAGGUUCGCUAGGUACGGUCGGACAUCGUACUGAUAGUGCAAUGGCAUAAGCGAGCUUAACUGCGAGACUGACAAGUCGAGCAGGUGCGAAAGCAGGACAUAGUGAUCCGGUGGUUCUGAAUGAAGGGCCAUCGCUCAACGGACAAAAGGUACUCUGGGGAUAACAGGCUGAUUCCUCCCAAGAGUUCAUAUCGACGGGGGAGUUUGGCACCUCGAUGUCGGCUCAUCACAUCCUGGGGCUGUAGCCGGUCCCAAGGGUAUGGCUGUUCGCCAUUUAAAGUGGUACGUGAGCUGGGUUUAAAACGUCGUGAGACAGUUUGGUCCCUAUCUGCCGUGGGCGCUGGAAAUUUGAGGGGGCCUGCUCCUAGUACGAGAGGACCGGAGUGGACGCACCUCUGGUGUACCUGUUGUCACGCCAGUGGCAUCGCAGGGUAGCUAUGUGCGGAAGAGAUAAACGCUGAAAGCAUCUAAGCGUGAAACUCGCCUCAAGAUGAGAUUUCCCGGGAACUUGAUUCCCCUAAAGGGUCGUUCGAGACCAGGACGUUGAUAGGUCAGGUGUGGAAGCGUAGUAAUACGUUAAGCUAACUGAUACUAAUUGCCCGUGCGGCUUGAUCCA
rnacentral:rRNA from 1 species